UACGUAGGGUGCAAGCGUUAAUCGGAAUUACUGGGCGUAAAGCGUGCGCAGGCGGUGAUGUAAGACAGUUGUGAAAUCCCCGGGCUCAACCUGGGAACUGCAUCUGUGACUGCAUCGCUGGAGUGCGGCAGAGGGGGAUGGAAUUCCGCGUGUAGCAGUGAAAUGCGUAGAUAUGCGGAGGAACACCGAUGGCGAAGGCAAUCCCCUGGGCCUGCACUGACGCUCAUGCGCGAAAGCGUGGGGAGCAAACAGG
rnacentral:rRNA from 1 species